GAUGGGAUUUACAUCUGAAAAACCAAGUGAGAAACUGAAGACAAGAGAGGGUGAGUGGCUUACCCAGUUUGGCACAACUGACCCCAACCUAGCCCUCCUUGAGGACUGAGUGCAUGAGAGAUCCUGAGCCACAGCCUCCCAGCCCUGCUCCUCUCGAAUUUCUGACCUACAGGAACUGCAAGAAGUAAUGAAAGACUGCUGUUUAAAGCCACUGCAUUUUGGCAUGAUUUGUUAUGCAGUCAUAGGUAACCAGAAAACAUCGGAUUUACAUUUUAAGAUAAACUUUUUAUUGAAAUAUCACAUACACACAGAGACGUCCGCAAAUUGGCUCGAUGAGCUUUCUCAAAGGAAACACAUUCUCUGAGCAGUGUGCACAUCCAGACACAUCAUCCCCAUCCUCCAGAAGCCCCCUCCUGUUACCGCCACUCACAGGUCACCCAUCUCCUGUUGCAGCCACAGAGAUAGUCCUGCCUAAUUCUGAACGUGGUAAAACGGAAUCAUACAGAAUGGGCUUGGCUUCUUUCACUCUGGGUUGUGUUUAUGAGAAUCACCCAGAUUGCUGCGUGGAAGCCAUCAUUUGUUCAUUUUCACCACCAUAGAGUAUUCUACUGUUGAUGGGACACAGGCUAUUUAUUCCUUCUACUGUUGAGGGACACAUAGUUAUUUCCAGCUGGAGACUGGUAUAUGUCUCUUGGCUACUUUCUGCAUGCAUUUCUGUUGGAGAUUGUUUCAGGUAUCUCUUAACGUAAAACAGACCAUCCUCAAAUUGAGUCCUUGAAACAAUUACCAUUUUCUUCUUUCUCAGGAUUUGGUGCAUGGGAUGGGCUCAGCUGGGCAGUUCUUCUAUUCCAUGUGAUGGUACUGGAGCUGCAGUCAUUCAGAGGCUCAACUGGGCUGAACGUGCAAGGUUUCUUGCUCACGUGGCCAUCAGUGGUGCUGGCUGCUUUUGGGAGCUCCGCUGGACUUCUGACCAGAGCUCCUCAGCUCACCUCUCUAUAUCCUUGCCCUGUGGCUCAGGCUUCUAACAAUACAGAGGCUGGAUUCCAAGAGGAGGGAAUUAGAAGCUUUCAGCCUUCUUAAGACCAGGAUUCAGAUGUCCCAGACUGUCACUGUAUUGACUGGAGCAUUUACAGCCCAGGCUAGUAAUUUUUCCAUCUUGGGCAGGAAUGGGUGGCAUAUGCUGGGGGUAGGGGUAGCAUUGUUGGGGACUGUCUUUGGAGCUGUGUGCCAAGGAGUAAAUUGCUGGGCUGCUUUCUACCUGAGGAAGUCCACUGUGCUUGCUUGUGGAGAGUGGAUUGUGUGCUCAGAGUCCACCAGGAUUUCAGAAUCUGAGCCCUGCUCCCUUUGCCUCAGCCUGUGCAUUAGGGCCCUGUGGUGAGAGCACCGAGCCAUUGUGAAUCAAGGACCCUCCCUCGACCUGCAUACUGACAGGCCAGAGGAGCUUGCUUGAUUUUGGUCCUAGGCUCCUGCCUGUGGGUUGGAUUCCAGGGGCACUCCCUCCUCCACAAACCAGACAGUGGCAGGUACAGCCCCUCAAUGGAAAUUGCCCACACUUCACCCUAAAGACAGAUCCUGCUGUUCAGCAACAAUGUGAGUGGCCCACACAUUUGUCCAGCAUGAAACUGUUUGCAGAUUCCUUUCCAGUACACAGUCCCAUCAGCUAGUCACAUCACGAUGACAACUCCUCGAAGCACCUUUUGGUUUGCAGUUGUGUAGCUUAGAAGUAAGAGCCUGCACGGCUUCAGGAAUUCACAGAAGGAACACACUUUGUGCUUGGAGAAGUUAAUUAUAGGAAUAUCCUGCAACCUGCUGCUCUGAGCCUGGGCACCUGGGGUGUUUCCCCGGAGGUCCUGUGUAUGAGGAUACUCAUCAGCAUGGGGUUUGGGAAGGCUAGCACUGGAGACAACCUAAGUGGUCCUCUCCAGGGGAGUAGGUAAGAGCCCUACAGCAGUGAAAAGCAUUGAAGGAAAAGUGUGUUCAGCAGUGCUCUUAAUCUGAUCAGAGUAACCUGAACACAUUCUAAACACAGGGCAUUUAGAACUGGGGUAGAAGCAUUAGAGCACCAUAGAUACAAACUCAGAUUCUGAAGGUAAAUGCCCAGGUUCAAAUCCAAGCCCCAUCGCCAAGUGACCACGACUCCCCCAAGUCACCUGAUCUCUGUGUUUACAUCCUCAAAGUUAAGUAGUCAGGAAAGGGGGCUUGGGGCUUGCCACAUGGAUGGUUGCCACUCUCCUUUGAAAAGUGUAGUCCCCCAAAACAGGUGGAACAGGGAAGGGUCCAAUUAGAAGGCUGAUUACCAGCUGCCGUGUAUAUGCCAGAGCUGCUGGCUAGUGAUAAAUAACUGAAACCCAGGGGGACAGCAGAGCUAGGGUGACCAUACAUUCUAGGAAAGAAAAGAUGCCUGUUGUCCUGGCUUUUUAUCCAGCUUAGACAAAGAUGGGCAAAGAAAAUAAUUUAGAAAAUGGUAGAGAUGGGCACAGAGAAAGGGCACUGAGGGAGGCACAAACAGAAGGCCAAGUGAUGGUGGAGGCAGACAUUGGAGAAAUGCCUUUGCAAGCCAGGGAAUGCCAAGGAUGCUGGCGACCCUGGGAGCGGGAAGAACCUGGAACAUGCCCUCCCUCAGAGUCUCCAGAAGGAACUGGCCGUUCAUCACCUUUCGGACUUCUGGCCUCCGGAACUGCGCAAGAAAACGUUUCUGCUGUUGGAGGCCAUCCAGCUGGUGGUCAUUUGUUAUGGUUGCCACAGAAAAUGAAUAUAGAUUUAGACAUCUAAUUUGCAUAUAUAGAUGUGCAUGUGUAUUUGUUAAAUAAAAGAUAAAGCAUGAUAACUCGA
rnacentral:lncRNA from 1 species